UACGUAGGGUGCGAGCGUUGUCCGGAAUUAUUGGGCGUAAAGGGUUCGUAGGCGGUUUGUUACGUCGGAAGUGAAAACUCGGGGCUCAACCCCGGGCCUGCUUCCGAUACGGGCAGACUAGAGGUAUGCAGGGGGGAAUGGAAUUCCUGGUGUAGCGGUGAAAUGCGCAGAUAUCAGGAGGAACACCGGUGGCGAAGGCGGUUCUCUGGGCAUUACCUGACGCUGAGGAGCGAAAGUGUGGGGAGCGAACAGG
rnacentral:rRNA from 1 species